AAUUGUGGAUAAUCUUUCUGCCUCAGUGCUGGAAUUACAAAUAAAACCAUCAUGCCAAGGAUUGCAUGCAUCCUUGUAAUCCUUUUUGAUUUGAUGCAUCUAUGAACCCAUCACAAGCCCAGGAUUAAUGGUGUGUUUAGGGCUCUGCUUCCCUUGCCUUCCUCUGAGGUAUUCCUCUUUAACUCUCCAUAUGCUGGAAUUCUGUAUAUGAACACAUGCUGAGAAGUGAGUCACGUGUCCAACAAUCCAGGUUUUAUUUUAAGCUCCUCAAGAAUAUUCUCUCUGCUAAGGACACCCAUGUCUGGCUGAAAUCUCUAAUUUUCCUAGGAUCCAUGAGGUGACACUGUUUCAAUAGUAGAAGCCUAUGCUGUCAUGGAAGGGGCAGAACUGUCACAAAAGAGUCUUGCUCAGCCUCAUCACAUGCUCAGCUGUGAACUUCAGAGGAUGUACACUGAGGUCCAGCAAGCAAGCUUGACCCAUUCUUGCUCUGGGAAAGCCAGUCAUGGCUAAGAACAUUGGUGUGGCCCUUUUGGGGAGACUUAGACAACGUUAUGUAGUAAGCAACCUGAUGGAAAACCACUAGUGUGUCCUCAUGCACUUGUAUUGACUCUGGAUCUAAGUGCUCCAUGCCUGCAAUGUUAGAAGUGCCCAUUGAGUGUUUUUAAUCUGGGAUUACAAUGGAUCAUCUUUCAAGCUCUAGUCAGCUCUGGUGUUCUGUGGUCUAUGACCCUGGGAGACAGGGAUCUAUGCAGUUGAUUGCUUCCUAGACCUGUUUCUUAAGUUCUGUCUAUGGAUACACAGUGGGACAAAGGAACAGACUGAUCUUUGGUGCAUAGCUGUCUCAUCUGCAGAAGAUGUAAGGACAACUCAGUGCCUCCCACGAUUCAGCCAGAUCAAGGGCUGGAGUUAAGUGUGUGUGCUGAGCCCAUCUCAAGGCUUGACCUGCAAGAGGGCAGCCAGUUAGGACUCAGGCAACAUCUGUUACUGCAGCCUGCUCAACUCUCAUUCCUGGAAAAUGUUGCCUGAGCACAAGCAUUCCACAGCACACAUGUGAGUAUGCAUGGAGACACUGUGAGAUUGUGUGCAUCCAUGCAGAUGCUGUUAUGCAGGGACUAUUUUGCAUGUGCAAACACUGGAGACGUGUACAUAUAUGAAAACACAGUGUGCAUGCAUGUAUACACUGUAUACAUAUAUGUAGAUAUUGCAUACAUAUAGACAUUGCCUGUGUGAAAACAUUGUGUGUGCACAUUGUGACUCAGUGUGCCCAUGUGCAGAUACUAUAUGUAAACAUACACAGAUACUGUGCAUUCAUGUGUAGCCAUGUGUGUUAAUGCAGACAUUUUUGUGCAUACAUUUAGAUACCAUGUGUAUGUGUACUGUGAGAAGUUAUAGAUACAUGUACAUACAUAACACUGAAAUACAUACAUCAUUGAAAGAAGUAGAGACCCAAAGGUUCAGCCCUUUGAAAACAAAAGAGAAGUUAGCAGAAUACAUGUGUCGGGCCAAAUGUCUCUUGGGGAAGAGUUCUCAGAUUGUUAGUCUUGCAGUUACAAUAUAAUUGGGUUUUUUUUUUUCAAAUGUGUCCAUAGUUUGCCUAUUACUGCAAGGGCUGUACCUACCACCUUGUACCAGCUACUUUUAGCAAGAAGCUUGAAAUGUGGGAAAGAAGGAGGUGGAGACUUGGAAAGUCCUGGCAACUAUUUGCUUGGGGGAUGGUGGGGAACAACUCACUGGAGUACUGUUCUAUUCUUGCAGAGAUACCAGGGGGAGGAGGGGGAGGAGGAGAAACACAGAAGGUAGAGUCAUAAGGAUCAUCAGUUGGUGAAGAUAGGAGGGAGCAGGGGCUAUUAGAGGGAGGGAGGCACGGUCCAGCUCCCUGCAUGUUCAUCAGCCAGAUGUGGAGAUAAGGAGGAGACGGUCUAAGGCAGAGCACAGAAUGGAAACUGGGAAGGAAGGGUAGAAGAGACAGGUGACAAAGUCUGCAUAUCUAAGCCAUCAGUGGCAAGUGAGAGGAAUUUCCAUGCCCUUGUUAGGAAGACGCCAAGAUUCCAGAAGUUGAUAGGCAUUAAGCUGACUGGGCAGACAGUAAGUUCUGCCAGUCUUCCAGUGCUGGUAUUACUAUCAUGAACCACUAUACUUGACCUCUUCUCCUUGGGUGUUGGGGAUGAAACGCAUGGCCUCAUGCUUGUAAGGCGUACAUUUUAUUGACUACUGAGCCAUCUCCCUACUCCUUUGCUUGCUUUGAGGUUCUCCCAGGCCUAUUCCUAGGAGGUUACCAUACACCUUAAUAGCCUUUCAGCUUCCUCUUUUUUUCAGGCAAUCAAGCUGGUGUCCCGUGUUCUUCCUCAGUGUCUUUGAGAUGUAAGGGAAAUUGGAUUUGGCUCCUGCUAAUCUGAAACCUGCCCAGUACUGGAAAUUCUCUGGCCUGGUUUGGCCUGUUACUACUGUUUUGGGAAAGCUGGAAGAGCCGGGAGCCAGCUGUGGUUAGUACUUUGAACACUAACGACUUUGUAGAAGUUCCUGAAUGCCUUAGAAACAGAUCACCAUGGCUAUCCACCAUCUCACCUCAGAGAAAGGAUGGCUGACUCAGCAGAAGCUGGGAAGUGCUACCUGGAGACUCCUCCCUGAAGAGGAUAUAGAAUCUAAAGUGAUACCUUCUGGGGAGAAGGCUAAGGGGAAGAUAGAGAUGAGGCGAUGGAGAGGACACAUUAUGCUCUUAUUGUUCAUACUGGCCCACUAAUUCCAGCUGAUCAUCUCACAAUGAUAAGGUCUCAAGCAUAGAAGGUUGACGCUCCUUUCUGAGGAGUUACCCCCCUCCCCUCUACUGCAUCAUUCCAGUUCUGGUAGGUCUUAUGGGUCUACAACACCUAGGAAGGGACAGAAGCUAUUGACUUGAAGGAAGACUCAAUAAUGUGACCUUGGAAAGAUCCUAUCAGGGCAAAGAAAGCCCCUUAACAACAAAGAGGUGAAGUCUCUUGUUUCUUUGGUUUUGCCCUUGGCUUUAAGGCCUGAGGUAGAGGCCUGAAGCAACAAUGUUUUCAACAGUAACCCACAUUCUCCUGGUAAAUGGGCCAGAAGCCUGAGAAGGCUAAUUGGGUACUACUGCAAUUCAUAGACUCAAUGAGAGAUAAGGCCCUGGGGUGCAGAGGUCAGUUUUGAUGGAGGGUUAAGAAAGAUAAUCUUCGGGGCUGGUGAGAUGGCUCAGUGGGUAAGAGUACCCGACUGCUCUUCCAUAGGUCCGGAGUUCAAAUCCCAGCAACCACAUGGUGGCUCACAACCAUCCGUAACGAGAUCUGACGCCCUCUUCUGGUGUGUCUGAAGACAGCUACAGUGUACUUACAUAUAAUAAAUAAAUAAAUCUUUAAAAAAAAAUAAAAAAAUAAUAAAAAAUAAAAAAAUAAAUAAGUAAAAAUAAAAAGAAAGAUAAUCUUCCUCAGAGUGUGUAACCAAGCCUGACAACCAGAGGCUGAAGUCUGACAAUUGAAAGACACCUAGAGGCUUAGGUGGGGUUACAGGGUGGAACCAGAUUGAUUUCUUAUUCAUGGUAGUUUGUCCCUGUCUGAAGCCACUUUUCAGACCCUUUCCCUACUUCUGCUUGGUACUUUUAAGCUUUAGUUUGAUCUAAGGUCAUAGUGACUGCUAAAUACAAGAGGAAAAGAGGAGUCUGCCAUUUCACAAGUGAGGAGGUGGAAGUCAGAGGAGUCAUUAGUGGCUAUAGCAUACUUGAUCAGAGUCAGGUUUGGAUCUAUAGAGGCUGUCUAUGACCUCUAUAUUUCUCCAGGCUUGCACAUAACAAAAUCUGUCUUACCUUAUGGAGCAAGAAACUUUGCCACCCUGAGUGUGAGCUCUUAGACCAUAUACAGCGUGGUUAUAGCUGUGAUAGGGUCAGGGACAUAGGCUCCAACAAGGAUGGAUCAUCAGAAUUUUGAUGGAAGCAGGAAAGCUUUAAGAAUAAUGUCCUCAGGUGGGCUAGACUGUGAAGGGAGUCUAGGCAAAUAGAAUGUUCUAGAGUGAACCUAGACUUUUCAUAAUUGUCCAUUUGAAUAUGCCCCUACUUAUUGAAAGACCUCAGUGGUUCCCCUUGGUUAUUAAAAGACAGACCUUUUAGCGUGCUCUUCAAGAUUGCUAGCAGCAAGACCCUCAACCAGUCUUUGCUGCCAGUAGCUCGUCUGUACCCCAGAUCUGAGUUGUCCUGGUUCCAAACAAUUCAUGGUUCACUGGACCUGCUGAGCUUGAAUUCACACACACACACACACGCACACGCACACACACACACACACACACACACACACACACAGUGCCUUCACACAGACUGGUUGCUGUCAAAGAGUGAACCUCAGUCUAUUCUCCAGCUCUAAAUUCCUCGGGUUUACAAGUCAUGCUGAAAUGCCUGACUUUCUUUGAUGUAUGUCUGACUUUCAUAGGCUGUUACUCAUUUCUUGUACUUCCGGCCCUCAGCACUACUGAUAUCUAUCUGUCUUGAUGCUAUCCUACAUGCUAUCCCAUCGUUAAUACACAGUAGUGCUGUGUGUGAGUCACCUUUCCAGUUUCCCUAGCUAGCCUAUGCAGAAUCUAACACAGGGCCUCACUGUUUACUGGGUGAAAACCAGAUGGAAAUGCAGAUUCUGGAACAAGACUGCCUAGUUGCAGACUUGCCCUACCCCCUGCCAGCUGUACUACCUUAACAUCUCCCUGCUUUCAUUGUCUCAUUAGAAAAUGGGAUACUACCCUGAGGGUUAUUAUGAGGAUUAGAAAAGAAUAUAUGCUGAGCUCUAGGAAUGUAGCAAUGAAUAAGCCUCACUAGAGUGUUUACUGCAGUAAUCACAGUCUUCUGAAUCAAGGUAACAUGGAAGUUACAAGCUAGUCACAUUUUUCCCUAAAGGAACUCAAAAGAACAUGGAAAAGAUGCUACCUGGUCCAGGGAUGGGCAACGUCAUUCUGACAAAUGACCCUUGUAGGGCCAGCUAGCAGUUAACCAAUGGGCUGGAUAACUGGGUGAGUGGGUCUCAAAGCGGGGUCUCUAGCCAGCAGCCAUGUUCUCAUCUGGGAACUUGCUAGCGAUGUCAGUUCUCAGUUCCCUCCCCAGUCCAGUAUAUUGCAUUAGAAACCCCAUGGUGAUGGCAGUUAAAUUGUAAGGUGAGUCUGACAAACUCUCAAGUUCAUGGACUACUGGGCUAGAUGCUGCCCAUAUGUAGAGUAUGCCUUGAGAUUUCUAAUCUGUUAGUUAAAAAUAACCGUGGGUUUCUCAUGAGGUGUCAACAUAUCCCAGGUGGAAUGUGCCCCUGCUUCCGGGAUAUAACACGAAUGCAUAUGACUGCUUCUAUAUUACACUGUGGACUUACAUGCUCAUGCUUGUGUUUUUUCUUUCUUCAAAGGGGAAGACAAGAGAGAAGCCAGAUUCUAGACACUGUUUUUGCAGGAAAAAAAAUCCCUAAGCUUUCUCAGAGCAGAAGAAAAGUCAUUGCAAGAACCUUGGAAAGCCUGGCUUCAAAGUGCACAUAAUGUGCAUAUGAGUGUCCAUUGGGUAUGGGGACAGUGGGCAUGGGAAUACUGCCAUUCUGCUGUGCUUGAAGCUCAGCUGGAGACAGGAACAGGUGGGGAAGCAUGAGAGUAGGCCUGGCUGUGGGAGGAAAGUCUGGCUGGGGUCCAGUGUUCCAACAAAGGCAUAUAUGGUGAGUCAGGAUAGCUGGCCCCAGCCUCCUAGAGAAGGCCUAGAAUGCCAAUUUAGGGUGAUGUGUGCCUCUACCUUCUCCAUGGGGGUCCAUAUGUAUAGAGCUAGCAACACCUCCCCACUUCACCUCACACUGCACCUGGGCCCUUGGCUCUCUUGCUGGGAACUCAAUUUUGAGUGUAUUGACAAGGCACACAUAAACACCUGUAUCUAUGAGGGUGGGGGAUUAGAAGAGUUCCUGUGAAACUCUUUAAAUAUAGCCACUGAGAACUGGUGAAGGGGGAAGCAUUGCUCAGAACUGGCCAAUAGCAACAUUGUUAGCAUUAUCCAGACACUUGUAAGAUUAGCAUCAGGAGAUAAAAUACUCAGACCCCAUUACAGACUUGGCGAAGGAGAAAUUCUGGGGUAAAUCCCAGCAGCACCAUCAUGAGCCUUCAGGAGACUGAUAAAUGCCUACACCAGAGAACCACUAGCUUAGGACAUGGACUGAAGUCUUCUUGCCUUCAAAGAGAGGAAUGCAUACUUCCUACCACAAAUGUUCCUCCCUUUUGCCCUAGCAUUGACUCCUGCCAUCAAGUAUCUACCAUGGUGAUAGAGGACCAGGUCUGGGCAAGGGAGUCUCUGGUAACACAGGAGGGGCAGCAGUACUGAGGGCAGUAAUGAGGGGUGGGGAGGCUGCCACAGCUAAUUUUCUCUUAACAUGUAGGCCCAGGGGAGCCCUAAGCCUCCUUGCCAUUGAAACUAGUAAAUUACAAGCUGAUGACUGUGAUAUUACCAAUAAUGAUGAUAAUAGCACCAAUCAGACAGGGUCAGACAGGCACUUUUCUGUCUUGGGUCAAUCAGGGAAGGUUCUAGCUUUGGGGCGCUUGUUUCUGAAUUAGAGAAAUCCUGGAUUCUAGCCAGCCUCACUCCUCUGCCAGGUGUGCAGCUGGGCUCCCAGUUUUCUGUCCUCUCCCAUCCUGACAUGUCUACCCUGUAGUCAGUCAUUUGUGGGCCAGGUGAGGACUGGGGAGGCAGCUGAAGCAGCAACAUCUUGCUUCUCCUCUGCCUGACUAUUCCCAGGGUCACAAGACCAGAAGUCUGUCCCGGAGAGCAAAAGACAGCCUUGGGCAGCAGAGAGAAAUCUUUACUGCAGGCAGGUGAGGGCCCUGGAGCCCUGUUAGUCUCCAUCAGCAGGGUCUGUGGCUUCAGCUAUCCUUAAAUGACUUGGGUUAGACUUUUUCUUGAUGCUCUCUCUCCUUUCUCUACCCUGGGACAGAAUAGAGAGCCCAGAUUUCCAGAGAAGAUUUGGCAGUACUGUCCACGAUAGUUCUCAGCUGUCCACCUGACCCAAGGAACAACUCUUAUCUUUCAAGAUUGUCCUCCAUGAAAUGCUUCCCCAAAUGCUGCAGUUUACAGAAGGAGCAAAGGGAAUUGGUCUCCUGCUUUCUUCCUGCUGGCUGCCUCAGCCUAGCCCCCACUGUGGGGCUUCAAACAGGAGGAAAUUAGCACAAGACCCCCUGUCAUCACAGGCAGUAACUUGUGAACAUGUGCUGAGGUUGUUUUUUCUGGACAACAGAGCUUGAAAAGCAGCUCACUGGGGCUUGUACUUUUUUUUUUUUUAAAGAACUGUGUAUAUGUUAAAGUCAUUAAGGUUGGAAAGGGGUUGGAAUGGAGAGUAAAGGCCAUUAUAUGGGAGGAAAAGAAAAAUGACCUGUCUUCAAGCUGUCAGCAGAGGAAACGCCUCUGCAUCAACAAGAAGAGAGGGGCCAGGCAGAGGUGCAGGCAUCAAAGAGCUCCUCACAGUGACACUCACUCCGCUUAUCUGGAACCUGCUCAGCAGUGGCCUUGGCCAACUAUGAAUGAACUAUCUCUGUUCAUGUAUUAGUGAGCCACUGACAGAGAAGAGAGCUGGGCAAGAGAGAGUAGCAGAGAGAUGAUGCUUACAGCCCUUUUGAAUGUCAGGGCCCUACAACCUCUGUAGUCCCUUUUGCAAUCAGCCUCAUACACAGGAGGUGUGGUGAUCACCCCUACCUCACAGAGAUGAGAACUGAGUCACUGUGCUUAAAUAUCCUUCCCAAGACACACAAUUUGUGGGUUGUAAGGUAAGGCUGGAGACAUAGGCUCCCCCUGUCACUAUACUUGAGACUUUGGAGACUCUGCUGUAGUUUGAGGCAGGCUAUGGGUUGGGGCCCAGAUCUCACUUCAUAGUAAGUGUGAGGAGCUAGUUCAGGCACCAAGGCAUAGAUAUAAGGAAGACUGUUAUGAGAGGAAUGAGAAGUCACAGAUAAGAAAAGCAAGUGACCAUUGUGUAGGUCAGCUUGUGUUAUGGUGUCUCCUGCUGUGUGCUAUGAAGGGUGACAGAUCUCCAAACUCUCAGCCUUGUGACCAGAGAUACCAACUUCCAGACCUGAAUCUUUAAACUCUUCCUCUUAGGAAACAAAUAUAGAGAUGUUGAGGGCCACCAGAGACAGUAGCACCUGCCACUGAACUCUGAGGAACACUGUCUACCACCAUAUGUGCCAGCUUCCUCCCUCCAUUCAGCCAGGCCAAACAAAACCCUCUGAGGACAGGUUACACAUAGGCCUUCUCCUGGGACUGAGGAGAGAGGGAUAGGAAGUGAACAAGUAAAGGUGACAUUGUCUAGCCAUUCUUCUUUGGGUAUGUAUUCUUGUGGUCUAUGUCUUUAAUCCCUGAGACAUAUGCUCCCAAUCACAGUUCAAGUUGACAACCCUCCUUUAAAUAUAAGGGAGCUUGGGAGGAUGAAAGUCCAGGCCAGGGCAACCCUUUCCCUUCCCCCACUCCCAGCUCCUCUGCCAAAAUAUACUGUGAAACAACCCUUGACCUCUAUCCCAUAUUUUCUCUGCUCCAGCUCCUGUCAGCCCCAUUCACUUCCCACCUCCCUGAGGAGUGGACAGCUCAGUAAUUUAAGGAUCACCAGCAAGAGAGUUUUAAAGGUCAGAAGCCUGAAAAGGCUGGGAGGGGGAUUCCACCUCUCUCCUGUGUUUGCAUGAGGUACUCCUCUUAGAGUCUACCUCUUCCAUAUCUGCAGAUAUGGCUCCUGUAAGCCUAAGACCUUUGACAGCAAGCAAUAUGGUCUGCGGAUGAAGACUAUGAAUAUCCUGAAAAAUAACUUUUUAAAUAACAGUUUAAAGUUUAUCUUGUUUGUGAGUAUUAAUAGAGAGGAAAUACUGCCUAUAGUUUGCUUAUAGUUCUUUAACUAAAGGAGACCCUGAUAGUUUAUCCAAUUGCAAGUAACCAUCCCUAAACACAAAUACAUACACACUAAAUGGACUCAGUGAUGUGUGUAUGUGUGUGUGUGUGUGUGUAUGUGUGUGUACAACAAUAAGAGGUCACUAAUUUGAGAGGAAGUAGGGAAGAUUUAGAAGUUGAAGGGGGAGGAAUGUGUGGAAAUGAUAUAAAUAUAGUACUCAUGUAUAAAAUUCUCAAAACAUUAAAAAAAAUGAAAGGAAAUGCUAUGUUCCUGGGAGAUCUCCAAUUUAGGAAGUUCCUUCUAUUAUUUCAUUUCCUCUCUGCUAUAGCUGCUAUAGAAAAUAAAGCUUGUUUAUAUCCCUAGCCUCUCCUUUCUCCCUGCAUUAACUGUAUAGAUUAGCUUAGCUCAGCUCAAUCCCAGAGCUUAGAACCUGGGAAAAGGCAAUAUAAACCACCAGGGAGAGACAUGGCUAGCUCAUGUCUUCUUGAGUUCAGAACCACCAAAAUCCUGCAGAGGUUGCACAGCAGGUUUCCAGAUCCUAAAUAUGUGGUCUUCUCCACACCAGCAGAGAGCCUAAGCAAAUGAUACCAAGGAAACAGCUCUGGAAAGGCCUUGCUGUGCAAUCGUGUCAUUGUGCAUGAAGGAAGACUAAGAUUUUGCAUAUAACACACUUGGCUUCCAAGCCAAUUGGCAGGCCUGGCCAAUGAAUGUCCACUCAAAAGGGUGGUCAUCUCAGUGGCUUGGGGAACGAAUAGUGGCCAUGGGGGUGAAGUCAGAAUAAACAACAGCUUCUUUCCCAUCAGAUAUUUUCCUCAUGUGGAGCCCAGUCAGCUGCCAACCUCCUGGCCUGAAAUAGUUGUUCGCUCUUCCCCAUUUGCCCAAAAGGCCCCAGGAGAGUUAGACUAACAGAGGAAGGCCUAUGGCAUUCAGUCUAGCAGAGCGAGAGAGAGCUUUGCCAGGACUCCUCCCUCACCAAGCUAAGGAUGAGGUCAGAAGAACAAAGGUCACAGAUGGAUCUACCUCAGCUUGAAAGAAGGCACAUGUGGUUUUAUGUAUAUGGGAGGGAGACAGACUGGUGACUUGCAUGUCAGACAGGGGGAAGUUACCAAUGGCUUAUAAGGCAGACAAGGUUCAACUUGAACCAGAGGGCAGAGAGCCUUAUGGAGCCAGUUUCUUCAAUGUCACCAACAUCCCAUUUCACCCUCACUCUGUCUUCCAUUCUUUAUUUCUUCUUUCUUCUUUGACCUUCCUCCACAGGGAAGGAGGGAGAGAAAAGGAGCAGAGGGAGGUGGAAACAGGCCUGCAGGCCUCUUGGACUCUACUGACCAUCAGCAGCUAAGAAAGAAAGCUUAUGUUAAAAAAAAAAAAAAGAAAGAAAAGCAGAGAUGGGGGCAAGCAGAUGUAGGGGGCUGUAGCCCCACUGCACUAAGCCCCUGCCUGGUCCCAUGCUGUGGGGCAUCCUGUGGGGAGCAGGGGCCUCACUCUUGAACACUUUGCCCCUUAGAUUCUUUUGCCUGGGAAACAGAUCACAGAAAGGGCUUAUGUGAUCUUUGGGACUGGGAAACUGGCUUCCUCAGAGGCAAAUAAGAAACUGUUCCUUUUGCCUGGGCAGCUGAGGGGUAGAGGGCACGCUAUCAUUGUUUCUACCUUACACUAUGGGAUGGUACUACGUAGUGAACUAGCCACUAACCAUAUAGAAUACUUUACCUUUAUGACAGUGCCAUACUAGAAAGUUCUUUACUGGACAAUUAAGAGAAGAGACAGUUUAUAGAAUAGGAGAACACCUUUACCACCUGACCACAGACUCAUAUUUAUAAUAUACAAAGAACUUAAAAAAAAAAAACUAAAGAGAAAGAAACCAAACAACACAAUCAGUAAACACACUAGUAAAAUAAACGCAUAGUUUGCAAAAGGACAACAGAAAAAAUAUUCAAGACUACUCAACAUCAGAGGAAAGCAAAUCAGACUCCACUGAGGUCUCAUCUCAGCCUACUCAGAAUUUCAAUCAUUACGAAAACAAAAACCAAGUCAUUCUGGCAAGAAUGGCCAAAGAAAACCCUUAUGCACUGCUGGUCAGAGAGUAAAUUAGUCCAGCCAUUAUGGAAAUUAGUAUGGAGGUUUCUCAAAGCUAAAAAUAAAUCUUCUAUAUAAGCCAGUUCAUCCUACUUCUGAGUAUUUACUCAAAGGACCCUAAGCCAGCAUACCACAGAGACACCUGCACAAGGGUGUUUACUACAGUACUGACCAUGCGCAACAGCUAAGUUAGGGAACCAACAGAGGAGUUCGUAAGAAAAAUGUGGCAUAUACACAAUGGACUUACUUUCAGCCAUUAAAGACAACAACAACAACAAAGUUAUAUUAUUUAUAAGAAAAUGGAUAAUCGCAAUAAAUGAAUUAAGCCAGUCUCAGAAAGACAAACAUCAGAUGUUUUCUUCAUUGGAAGUUCCUAGACUUUAUAUAGUCAUAUAAAAUCAUGUAUGUAUGUAUGACUAAAUUCUCUAUGGGACAAAAGGAGAUUGUGGAGGGGUCGGAAGGAAAGCAAGACUAGAGGAAUGGGGAAAUAUGCUCAGCACACAGAAUAUACUUAUAUGAAGAUUUCAAAAAUAGUUUAGAAAGUUCUUACUAUAGUCUAGUUUCUAUUUUUUAUUCUCCCUAGAUAUUCACAGUGUGCUCCCGAGGAAUGAGACAACUGUAACCCUAAGGAUGGGUAUGGUGGGUUGAAAUGAUGGGGUGGGGAGAGGGCAUAAGAACCUUCUUUCUGUCAGCCUGCAAGCUUUAGCCCACGAGUCUCUCUCCAAUACUAAACUUUUCAACCCACCUGGGAGGAGCUGAGCUAUGCAUAGCAGAGGAGAAAUCCAGCAAGCAGCUACAGCCGAACAGGUUUUGCAAUAACAUUUUGCCUCAAAUCCACACCCCUGCUUAGAAAAAGUCAAAGAAAGUAUACCAAGCCCAGCCCUAGAUAAGGUGGGUGUGGUGUCAUUAACUGGCUUACUCAUUUUGCCUCUGGCCACCACUUAGGCAGUGUAGGCAGAAACAUGCUGGGGGACCCAAGCUGUGAUGAUGCAGUAAUGCUUCACUUGGUUUGAAAAUUGUUGACAUGAUGAAGAUGGAAUGAGAGAUGUCAAAGGCAGGCACAGGGCACACCCAGCAAGCCGCCUACAGGCAGGGGCUGCUUACCUACCCCAGGAGGUCCCUUGCUAGAGCAAAAGAUAGGAGAGUGCUUACACAUGUGUGUACACACAUGCAACAUGGUGCUCCAGGGAGAUUUCUGGAAAGAAUCUUUCAUCCAAUUUCUCUGUAAGCCUCAGCUGUUCCUACAGGCUCCAAGGAGCCAACAGAUGGUCCCAGCAAAACAGGCUCCAGAGUCUCUAAAUCAGGGUCUGUGUUCCUCUAAGGCCAAAAGUACAACUGAGCCCAUUUCCCAUGGGUGGGGGAGGAACAAAAAUGAAUUUGAAGCUGUGCCUUUCCUUCUUUCAGGCACCCCCACAUUUUCAAAAAUAGCAUACUUGCUCUUACACUCUGCUUUGAAGAUAAAGUUACUCAGGACCCCACAUUUCAGGUGAUUUCCUCUAGAUUAUCCUUUAGGUUCCAAGAACCCAACUUAAGAGUUAAAGAUAAACUUGUGGCUCAAAGCCUGGAUUUCAUUAAGAGGCUUUGUCCAGGAUGGGUCCUGGGUUUAGGCCAAGGGCACUUUUCCUGGUACUCCCAUUUCUUUUUCUCAGGGGUCAGAGAUACUGCAGAAAUUUCCCAGAUCAGGUUUCUAUUCCAGAGUCUCUUCCUCCUCACAUGUACCAUGUACUUACAUAUAUAUACACAUGUGUGUGCAAGUGUGUAUGAGCGCAUGCAUACACGUGCAUAUAUACCUUCUAAAGACUUGGCAAGAAUUCUCCAGAAACGUUUUAAUCACACACACACACACACACACACACACACACACACACACACACACAAACACACACACAAAACAGCAGACUCAUUGGUUUGAUGGGCUCUACAAACACAAUUAGACCUUAGCAGAACUGCCAUCAGGAACCUAAUUCCUCCAGUUCCCGACCCUUGGCAAACACGACUUGGCUUUUUAAAGCUGCUGCUUUAUUUAUUCCUGUUGAUCUGUUUCUGAAGAUUAAAAAAAAAAAAAAAA